UGACCUCAAAUCAGGAGGUAGGAACACCCGCUG
rnacentral:rRNA from 1 species